AUGAACGCUGGCGGCGUGCCUAACACAUGCAAGUCGAACGGAGCUGCUUUGAUGAAGUUUUCGGAUGGAUUUAAAACAGCUUAGUGGCGGACGGGUGAGUAACGCGUGGGUAACCUGCCUCACACUGGGGGAUAACAGUUAGAAAUAGCUGCUAAUACCGCAUAAGCGCACGGUUCCGCAUGGAACAGUGUGAAAAACUCCGGUGGUGUGAGAUGGACCCGCGUCUGAUUAGCCAGUUGGCGGGGUAACGGCCCACCAAAGCGACGAUCAGUAGCCGGCCUGAGAGGGUGAACGGCCACAUUGGGACUGAGACACGGCCCAAACUCCUACGGGAGGCAGCAGUGGGGAAUAUUGCACAAUGGGGGAAACCCUGAUGCAGCGACGCCGCGUGAGUGAAGAAGUAUUUCGGUAUGUAAAGCUCUAUCAGCAGGGAAGAAAGUGACGGUACCUGAAUAAGAAGCCCCGGCUAACUACGUGCCAGCAGCCGCGGUAAUACGUAGGGGGCAAGCGUUAUCCGGAUUUACUGGGUGUAAAGGGAGCGUAGACGGCAAGGCAAGUCUGAAGUGAAAGCCCGGUGCUUAACGCCGGGACUGCUUUGGAAACUGUUUAGCUGGAGUGCCGGAGAGGUAAGCGGAAUUCCUAGUGUAGCGGUGAAAUGCGUAGAUAUUAGGAAGAACACCAGUGGCGAAGGCGGCUUACUGGACGGUAACUGACGUUGAGGCUCGAAAGCGUGGGGAGCAAACAGGAUUAGAUACCCUGGUAGUCCACGCCGUAAACGAUGAUUGCUAGGUGUAGGUGGGUAUGGACCCAUCGGUGCCGCAGCUAACGCAAUAAGCAAUCCACCUGGGGAGUACGUUCGCAAGAAUGAAACUCAAAGGAAUUGACGGGGGCCCGCACAAGCGGUGGAGUAUGUGGUUUAAUUCGACGCAACGCGAAGAACCUUACCAGGGCUUGACAUAUACGGGAAUACUUAAGAAAUUAAGUAGUCUUUCGGGACUCGUAUACAGGUGAUGCAUGGUUGUCGUCAGCUCGUGUCGUGAGAUGUUGGGUUAAGUCCCGCAACGAGCGCAACCCUUAUUCUUAGUAGCCAGCAGGUAAAGCUGGGCACUCUAAGGAGACUGCCGGGGAUAACCCGGAGGAAGGUGGGGAUGACGUCAAAUCAUCAUGCCCCUUAUGAUCUGGGCUACACACGUGCUACAAUGGCGUAACAAAGGGAAGCGAGCCUGCGAGGGUGAGCAAAUCCCAAAAAUAACGUCCCAGUUCGGACUGUAGUCUGCAACCCGACUACACGAAGCUGGAAUCGCUAGUAAUCGCGAAUCAGAAUGUCGCGGUGAAUACGUUCCCGGGUCUUGUACACACCGCCCGUCACACCAUGGGAGUCGGAAAUGCCCGAAGUCUGUGACUCAACCGCAAGGAGAGAGCAGCCGAAGGCAGGUCUGAUAACUGGGGUG
rnacentral:rRNA from 1 species